GCAGUCGAGCGAGAAGCCUCCUUCGGGAGGUGGACAGCGGCGAAAGGGAGAGUAACGCGUAGAUACCUACCUUCGGAUUCGGGAUAGCGGGGGGAAACCGCCGGUAAUACCGAAUAACGUCUCCGGACCAAAGGCUUCGGCCGUCUGAAGAGGGGUCUACGUCCUAUUAGCUAGUUGGUGGGGUAAUGGCCCACCAAGGCAAAGAUGGGUACCGGGUGUGAGAGCAUGGCCCGGCUCACUGGGACUGAGACACUGCCCAGACACCUACGGGUGGCUGCAGUCGAGAAUCUUCCGCAAUGGGCGAAAGCCUGACGGAGCGACGCCGCGUGCGGGAUGAAGGCCUUCGGGUUGUAAACCGCUGUCAGUGGGGAGGAAAUUACUUCGGUAUUGACCGAUCCGCAGAGGAAGCGCAGGCUAAGUUCGUGCCAGCAGCCGCGGUAACACGAACUGCGCGAACGUUAUUCGGAAUCACUGGGCUUAAAGAGUUCGUAGGCGGCCAUGUAGGUCAGGUGUGAAAUCCCACAGCUCAACUGUGGAACUGCGCUUGAAACCCCAUGGCUUGAGGAAGAUAGAGGUGAGCGGAACAGAUGGUGGAGCGGUGAAAUGCGUUGAUAUCAUCUGGAACACCGGUGGCGAAAGCGGCUCACUGGAUCUUCUCUGACGCUGAGGAACGAAAGCUAGGGUAGCGAACGGGAUUAGAUACCCUGGUA
rnacentral:rRNA from 1 species